rnacentral:rRNA from 1 species
GAUGAACGCUAGCGGCAGGCCUAAUACAUGCAAGUCGAACGGAUAUAUGUUUUUCGGAAUAUAUAUUAGUGGCGCACGGGUGAGUAACACGUACAUAACUUGCCCUCAAGCGGGGGAUAGCCUUGGGAAACUGAGAGUAAUACCCCAUAGAAUUAUUGGACGGCAUCGUUUGAUAAUUAAAACUACGGUGCUUGAGGAUAGAUGUGCGUCUGAUUAGCUAGUUGGUGAGGUAACUGCUCACCAAGGCGACGAUCAGUAGGGGGCGUGAGAGCGUGGCCCCCCACACGGGUACUGAGACACGGACCCGACUCCUACGGGAGGCAGCAGUAAGGAAUAUUGGUCAAUGGAGGGAACUCUGAACCAGCCAUGCCGCGUGAAGGAUGACGGCCCUCUGGGUUGUAAACUUCUUUUGGAUGGGGCGAAAAAACGGGAUUUAUCCUGGACUGACGGUACCAUCAGAAUAAGCACCGGCUAACUCCGUG